rnacentral:lncRNA from 1 species
UGUCUUCGCUGUCAAGGUUUCCUGCCUCUCACUUCACUCCCACAGCUAUGUGUGUGAAUAUUCAGAAGCAAGGUUGGAGCGUGCUUUUCUCUUCGACUUCUCCACUGAGCCUCCUGUGUGAAUAGCUGGAUUUUGACCUGCCAUUCCUGAACAAAACAGAAAUGCUAGUUCUUCGCUGACGGGAAAGCUUACCUGCCAUCUGCACAUGCUCUUUCUGGCAGCUCCUCGUGAUCCUUCAACUCUCAGGAAAUCCUUAGAGGAAUGAAAAGGACAGGCCCACCCCCACAGCAGACUGAUUUGGAGUGAUGACUCUAAAGAAGAGAUAAGUUGCGUGGUGAAAACAAACAAAAGGAGAAAUUAUUGAAGAAUCCUUUCCUCAAAAAACUCCAAGUAGUAAGUAAAUUAUAUAUCAUUUUUUGUUUAUUCAAGAGUCAUUGA